UGGUUGAGUUUCCCUGCAUGCUGAAAUGGAGGGGGGCAGUGGCCUGUAAUGCACAUGCAAUCUGGAGAGUUACUACUCGUGACAGGGUUUGGGUGUUUUUUAUGGUUAUUGGUUGUCUAGUUUUGCCAAGAGGAUCUCAUAGUGCUUGCUUGUUUGGGCGAAUUGAGUCAGUGGUAGUCCCACUGGAGCAGCUUAAGUCCUCUGAUUUUACUGAUCAACAAGAAUACUAUGCCUGCAAAAUGAAAUAAAGGAGCUUUUCUGGAAGGUGAUGCUGCUGUUGCCGUUGCUGAGGAGGUGAAGAAGAACAACCAUGUAGUAAGAAAGUUGGAGAAGCGUCAAUAGAUUUGCACCCUUGACCAGCAUAUUGAAGAGCAAUUUGGUUGUGGUCGUCUAUUGGCUUGUAUCUCAUCACGACCUGGACAGUGGCUGUGCUGAUGGGAUGGGAAAACAUUGGACAAUGAGUUGGAGGUUGUUGAGGGAAUGAAGCUAGAUAGGGGCUACAUAUCCCCUUAUUUCAUCACCAACCAGAACAAUCAGAAAUGUGAAUUGGAAAAUCCUCUAAUCAUAAUCCAUGAGAAGAAAAUCUCAAGUAUUAAUGAUGUGGUUAAAGUAUUGGAGUUGGUUUUGCAGUUAUGAUUUCAGAUCUGUAGAUAACCUGUUGUUGCUGAUAUUGCUACACGGGAGGAGAACAGAACAAGUUGGAAAAUGUGCAAGAAGGGAGAGCUAACUCAUACAACGAAGAACAAAUUGAUGAAGUUAAGAUCAAAUUAGUAGAAUUUGUGAGCUCUCCAUUAUUUAUAAUUAUAGGUAGGAAGUAUGUAUGUAAUAGAGCAAAGAUUGGUUGACUAUGUAAUAACAAUUGAAUUGUCAAGUUUUAUGAAAGAAAUAAUUUUUGCUUCUU